UAAGCCCGUGAAUAGCACGAUUAGCUCAGGCAGCACCUAGCAAAUUGUGCAAAUGAAUAGGAAGCACAACGUUGGCUUGCUGUCUGCAUCAGAAACUAUGAGUAGAAUCACUUAAAUCUUGUACUAAGAGUGCCGGUCUCCUCAACUCAGCUUGGGAUGAGCAGAGACAUCCCCUGGGUUGAUUCCAACUUCCUCCCGCUCAUGCUCCUGUCAAAAACACAACCUUGAUCUGGACACGCCUGCAAACACUGACUGGCUGAGAAGCUGAAUUCAACUUCAAGACAGCAUUGAACUGAGUAUGAAUCAAAGACCUCUCUCAAACAGGUCAAUGAGGGUUGAUGGUUGCAGUCAGGCAUGCUACCAGUGAAUACAGUGGGCUCUGCUAUUUGCUUUUCACAAUGUUUCUUGUAACAUUCUCCUGUUCCUUCUGGAAAGCAGCUAUUUUAUAUAACAAUAAAAACCUAAAUGGAAAGAGAAACUAAUAUUGAAAACAUGGGAUUAGCCUGAAUAGGUUAUUU